UUGUUACAAGCAAAAAGCAGUACUCUUAAUUAGCAGUUUUAAUUUGCACUUUCCUGAUCACUUAACAGUGUGAGGCCCCUCUUCAUAGGUUAUUUGCCAUCUGUACGUUUCCUUUGGUGUCCUGCAGUGUUUUAAAACCAGUUGACCUUAAGAGAAUUUAGAAGUCUGGCUUUGCUUGGCAUUCCUGAGAAAUGACAACCUGGACCCUCGAACUUCAUGGUGACAGUGGGCUGCAGCCCUCCUGGAAUCUACUUUGGGCCCUGUGGUCUGCACAUGAAUUUUAUGAAACUGCCUUCCAGACUCUGCCUAAAAGGUCUAAAGAAGAAAAUGAAAGUAACAGAGCCUGUUCUGCAGAGGAAGAGCCCCUGCUAACACUGUACUUCGACACUUAGUGUUACACAAAGGGUGAAGGACAGUGCUCUGUCACACUGUGGCUCCUCCUGCGAAUAUGCACGUUAGAUUUCUGUUCUCAAACGAGGAGUGAAUAGAGGAGUACGAGUCCUUACAGACCCCAG